UACGGAGGGUGCAAGCGUUAUCCGGAAUUAUUGGGCGUAAAGCGUCCGCAGGUGGUUUAUUAAGUCGGGUAUUAAAGACGGCAGCUCAACUGUCGCGCUGUAUCCGAUACUGGUAAACUAGAGCGUUGGAGAGGUGAGCAGAAUUCUGCAUGUAGGGGUAAAAUCCGUAGAUAUGCAGAGGAAUACCAAAAGCGAAGGCAGCUCACUGGCCAACAGCUGACACUCAUGGACGAAAGCGUGGGGAGCAAACAGG
rnacentral:misc_RNA from 1 species